AUGAGGGAGUGCAUCUCGAUCCACAUCGGCCAGGCCGGUAUCCAGGUCGGGAACGCGUGCUGGGAGCUCUACUGCCUCGAGCAUGGCAUUCAGCCUGAUGGACAGAUGCCCGGUGACAAGACCGUUGGGGGAGGUGAUGAUGCUUUCAACACCUUCUUCAGUGAGACUGGUGCUGGGAAGCAUGUCCCCCGCGCGGUCUUUGUUGAUCUUGAGCCCACUGUGAUUGAUGAGGUGAGGACUGGCACUUACCGCCAGCUCUUCCACCCUGAGCAGCUUAUCAGUGGCAAGGAGGAUGCAGCCAACAACUUUGCCCGUGGUCACUACACCAUUGGCAAGGAGAUUGUUGACCUAUGCCUUGACCGUAUCAGGAAGCUUGCAGACAACUGCACUGGUCUCCAGGGGUUCCUUGUCUUCAACGCUGUUGGAGGUGGAACUGGCUCUGGCCUUGGUUCUCUUCUCCUUGAGCGUCUCUCUGUUGACUAUGGAAAGAAGUCCAAGCUUGGGUUCACAGUGUACCCAUCCCCUCAGGUCUCCACCUCUGUUGUUGAGCCAUACAACAGUGUCCUGUCCACCCACUCUCUCCUUGAGCACACUGAUGUGGCUGUCCUCCUUGACAAUGAGGCCAUCUAUGACAUCUGCCGCCGCUCCCUUGACAUUGAGCGCCCAACAUACACCAACCUCAAUAGGCUCGUUUCUCAGGUCAUCUCAUCCCUGACUGCUUCCCUGAGGUUUGAUGGUGCUCUGAAUGUUGAUGUGAAUGAGUUUCAGACCAACCUGGUGCCCUACCCGAGGAUCCACUUCAUGCUUUCCUCCUACGCCCCAGUGAUCUCAGCUGAGAAGGCUUACCAUGAGCAGCUCUCUGUCGCUGAGAUCACCAACAGCGCCUUCGAGCCUUCCUCCAUGAUGGCCAAGUGUGACCCCCGCCAUGGCAAGUACAUGGCCUGCUGCCUCAUGUACCGUGGUGAUGUUGUGCCCAAGGAUGUCAACGCUGCUGUGGCCACCAUCAAGACGAAGCGCACCAUCCAGUUUGUGGACUGGUGCCCCACUGGUUUCAAGUGUGGUAUCAACUACCAGCCACCCAGCGUCGUCCCAGGCGGCGACCUCGCCAAGGUCCAGAGGGCCGUGUGCAUGAUCUCCAACUCCACCAGCGUUGUCGAGGUCUUCUCCCGCAUCGACCACAAGUUCGACCUGAUGUACGCUAAGCGUGCCUUCGUCCACUGGUACGUGGGUGAGGGCAUGGAGGAGGGUGAGUUCUCUGAGGCCCGUGAGGAUCUUGCUGCCCUGGAGAAGGACUAUGAAGAAGUUGGCGCUGAGUUCGACGAGGGCGAGGACGGUGAUGAGGGUGAUGAGUACUAG
rnacentral:rRNA from 1 species